AAGGCCAGGCUGAAGGACUUUGCCGGAUUAGCUGGAGAGGUGGUGCAUGGCCGUCGUCAGUUCGUACUGUGAAGCAUCCUGUUAAGUCAGGCAACGAGCGAGACCCACGCCCACAGUUGCCAGCGUACUCUCCGGAGUGACGGGUACACUGUGGGGGACCGCCGCUGCUAAAGCGGAGGAAGGAAUGGGCAACGGUAGGUCAGUAUGCCCCGAAUAUCCCGGGCUACACGCGAGCUACAAUGGUUGGUACAAUGGGUAUCUACCCGAAAGGGGACGGAAAUCUCCUAAAACCAAUCUUAGUUCGGAUUGAGGGCUGCAACUCGCCCUCAUGAAGCUGGAAUCCGUAGUAAUCGCGUUUCAACAGAACGCGGUGAAUACGUCCCUGCUCCUU
rnacentral:rRNA from 1 species